CUUCAGCGACCCCAGCCAGAGCGGCCGGUCCUCGGGGCGCCCCUGGCCGUACGUCGCCAGCAGCGCCUGCGCCUC
rfam:Streptomyces sp. 150FB scaffold00001, whole genome shotgun sequence.